GAUGAACGCUGGCGGCGUGCUUAACACAUGCAAGUCGAACGGACUUAUGAUGAAACCUAGUGAUUCGUAAGUUAGUGGCGGACGGGUGAGUAACGCGUGGAUAACCUGCCUUACACUGGGGGAUAACACUCAGAAAUAGGUGCUAAUACCGCAUAAGCGCACAGGACCGCAUGGUCUGGUGUGAAAAACUCCGGUGGUGCAAGCUGGAUCCGCGUCUGAUUAGCUAGUUGGUGAGGUAACGGCUCACCAAGGCGACGAUCAGUACCCGGCCUGAGAGGGUGGACGGCCACAUUGGGACUGAGACACGGCCCAAACUCCUACGGGAGGCAGCAGUGGGGAAUAUUGCACAAUGGGCGAAAGCCUGAUGCAGCGACGCCGCGUGAGUGAAGAAGUAUUUCGGUAUGUAAAGCUCUAUCGGCAAGGAAGAAAAUGACGGUACUUGACUAAGAAGCCCCGGCUAACUACGUGCCAGCCGCCGCAGUAA
rnacentral:rRNA from 1 species